UCAGGAUGAACGCUAGCGGCAGGCCUAAUACACGCAAGUCGAGGGGCAGCACAGGUAGCAAUACUGGGUGGCGACCGGCAAACGGGUGCGGAACACGUACGCAACCUUCCUUCAAGCGGGGAAUAGCCCAGAGAAAUUUGGAUUAAUACCCCAUAGGAAUGUAGUCUCGCAUGAGACAGCAUUUAAAGAUUUAUCACUUGAAGAUGGGCGUGCGUCUGAUUAGGUAGUUGGUGAGGUAACGGCUCACCAAGCCGACGAUCAGUAACUGGCGUGAGAGCGCGACCAGUCACACGGGCACUGAGACACGGGCCCGACUCCUACGGGAGGCAGCAGUAAGGAAUAUUGGUCAAUGGACGCAAGUCUGAACCAGCCAUGCCGCGUGGAGGAUGAAUGCCCUCUGGGUUGUAAACUUCUUUUAUCUGGGACGAAACACUUCUUAUCUAAGGAGCUUGACGGUACCAGAUGAAUAAGCACCGGCUAACUCCGUG
rnacentral:rRNA from 1 species